rnacentral:rRNA from 1 species
GAGUGAGAGGGAAGAGCCCAAGAUUGAAAGCUGGCGUCUUCGGCGUCCGCAUUGUAAUCUCAAGAAGUGUUUUCCGCUUCGGACCAAGCCUAAGUCCCCUGGAAAGGGGCAUCAUAGAGGGUGAUAAUCCCGUACAUGGCUUGGAGCGCCCGAGGCUUUGUGAUACGCUUUCUAAGAGUCGAGUUGUUUAGGAAUGCAGCUCAAAAUGGGUGGUAAAUGCCAUCUAAGGCUAAAUAUUGGGGAGAGACCGAUAGCGAACAAGUACAGUGAUGGAAAGAUGAAAAGAACUUUGAAAAGAGAGUUAAACAGUACGUGAAAUUGCCAAAAGGGAAGGGUAGGAGGUCAGAGAUGCGUCGCAGGAUUCAGCCUUGCUUUUGCUUGGUGUUUUUCCCAGAUUGCAGGCCAACGUCGGUUUUGGGCACUGGAGAAGGGUAGGAGGAACGUGGCACCCCUCGGGGUGUGUUAUAGCCUCCUACUGGAUACAGCGACCGAGACCGAGGACAGCAGCGUACUCGCAAGAGCGGGCCUUCGGGCACCUUUACGCUUAGGGCGUUGGCAUAAUGGCCCUCUACCACCCGUCUU